rnacentral:rRNA from 1 species
AACGAACGCUGGCGGCAUGCCUAACACAUGCAAGUCGAACGAGACCUUCGGGUCUAGUGGCGCACGGGUGCGUAACGCGUGGUAACCUGCCCUUAGGUUCGGAAUAACUCCCCGAAAGGGGUGCUAAUACCGGAUAAUGUCUUCGGACCAAAGAUUUAUCGCCUUUGGAUGGGCCCGCGUUGGAUUAGCUAGUUGGUAGGGUAAAAGCCUACCAAGGCGACGAUCCAUAGCUGGUCUGAGAGGAUGAUCAGCCACACUGGGACUGAGACACGGCCCAGACUACUACGGGAGGGAGCAGUGGGGAAUAUAGGAAAAGGGGCGAAAGACUGAUAAAGAAAUGACGGGUGAGUGAUGAAGGCCUUAGGGUUGUAAAGCUCUUUUACCCGGGAUGAUAAUGACAGUACCGGGAGAAUAAGCUACGGCUAACUCCGUG